UUAGGUUACAUGCUACUAAAAUCAUCACCUGUUUAAACAUUUUAGAUUUUGUUUCUCUCUCUUGUUGAAGUUUCUUAACCUUCCCUUUGAAAACCCUAGCCGCCGCUAUCAUUCCGGCCGUCGCCCCCUCCGUCCAGUAAACUUUGACAAAAUAAAAUACAUAUUUUUUAUGCUCUCUUUUUCCUCUAUAUUUAUAUUAAAGUGUAUUUUAAAAAGGAACAAUCUUGAAAAUUAGUGGAUGUACAUUUUUCAACCUUCAACUGUUCACCUAUGAUGAAGCCAUGAACAACUCUCUCUACAGACCAACAACAAAGGAAUCAAAGACAUCAAAAGAAUAAAAAAAAUCAUAUCUAGUUUAAAUCUGUAUUUUUUUUGCAUCUUUGUGAGGUUCACACCAGAGCUCCGCCACAAAAGCUCCACUCCGGUCAACUUUGAACUCAUUCAUAUGACAUUCAUCAUGUAAGCUUCUUAUUGGAUAUUUUUUUUUCCCAAUUUGGUGGUGUGGUUUCAUUCUUCUCCUCUCCUGUCAUACAUGCAUCAACAAUAUUAGAGAAAAAAAAAGAAGAUCAGAUCUAGUAUUUUAGUAGUUUAUGCAUAUGUUUGUAAAUCAAUAUUGGUGUUUGAUCGGCUUAUAUUUUCAUAAUUUUAUAUCAUAUUAGAUCGUUUUAAUUUUUUUUCAUGUUUAAGAAUUUAUCAAAAAAAAAUAAAAUUCGCAGAACCUUGUAGUUGUAUUUUUUCCUUUUAGAUUUUAGAUCCUACAAAAGUUUUUGAAAUAAUUAUAUUUUUUUUGUUAUUGACUUGUUUCUUUUUGGAUCUGUUUAUAUUCAUAUUCCUCUUAUUUAAUGUUAAUUGCUCUUUUUUAUAAAAAUUUGUUUACUUUUACUCUUUUUUUUAAUCCAUUUUGAGAUAUUUUUAGAAUAAUUAUUUUAUCUAUUAUUCUUCUUCUGCAUUUUCCUUAGUAAAUAAAAUUAACAUUUUCAUGAAUUUUUGUAUAAAUAUUGUUUACUUGUAAUAUGAAUAUUUUUAGAAUAUGUUUGGUUGUUUCAAAAUCUAUGAUUAACUGUAAUUUCAAUUUAAACAGAAAUAAUAAUAUUUCUUAUUUUGUACUGCAACCUGCACCUCAACUGUGUUGCACCUCUACUGUGCAGUACUACCAUACCUUGCACCUCUACUGUGCAUUACUACCAUACCUGACUAAUCACAUGUCAUCAAAGAACAGUUGUAUGCUCAUUGAGACCCACAAAAUAAAAA
rnacentral:lncRNA from 1 species